AGAGUUUGAUCAUGGCUCAGAUUGAACGCUGGCGGAAUGCUUUACACAUGCAAGUCGAGCGGCAGCGCGGGGCAACCUGGCGGCGAGCGGCGAACGGGUGAGUAAUGCAUCGGAACAUGUCCAUGUCGUGGGGGAUAGCCCGGCGAAAGCCGGAUUAAUACCGCAUACGCCCGAGAGGGGAAAGCCGGGGACCGCAAGGCCUGGCGCGAUUGGGUUGGCCGAUGUCCGAUUAGCUAGUUGGCGGGGUAAGAGCCCACCAAGGCGAUGAUCGGUAGCUGGUCUGAGAGGAUGAUCAGCCACACUGGGACUGAGACACGGCCCAGACUCCUACGGGAGGCAGCAGUGGGGAAUUUUGGACAAUGGGGGCAACCCUGAUCCAGCCAUUCCGCGUGAGUGAAGAAGGCCUUCGGGUUGUAAAGCUCUUUUGUCCGGAACGAAACGGCUAGCGUGAAUAUCGCUGGCUAAUGACGGUACCGGAAGAAUAAGCACCGGCUAACUACGUGCCAGCAGCCGCGGUAAUACGUAGGGUGCGAGCGUUAAUCGGAAUUACUGGGCGUAAAGCGUGCGCAGGCGGUUUUGUAAGCCAGAUGUGAAAUCCCCGGGCUUAACCUGGGAAUGGCAUUUGGGACUGCAAGGCUGGAGUUUGGCAGAGGAGACUGGAAUUCCCGGUGUAGCAGUGAAAUGCGUAGAUAUCGGGAGGAAUACCGAUGGCGAAAGCAGGUCUCUGGGCUAUAACUGACGCUCAUGCACGAAAGCGUGGGGAGCAAACAGGAUUAGAUACCCUGGUAGUCCACGCCCUAAACGAUGUCGACUGGUUGUUGGGGGUUUGACACUCUCAGUAACGAAGCUAACGCGUGAAGUCGACCGCCUGGGGAGUACGGCCGCAAGGUUAAACUCAAGGAUUGACGGGGACCCGCACAGCGGUGGAUUAUGUGGAUUAUUCGAUGCACGCGAAAACCUUACCUACCCUUGACAUGUCCCGAAGCCC
rnacentral:rRNA from 1 species